GAUGAACGCUGGCGGCGUGCCUAAUACAUGCAAGUCGAGCGAACAGACGAGGAGCUUGCUCCUCUGACGUUAGCGGCGGACGGGUGAGUAACACGUGGAUAACCUACCUAUAAGACUGGGAUAACUUCGGGAAACCGGAGCUAAUACCGGAUAAUAUAUUGAACCGCAUGGUUCAAUAGUGAAAGACGGUUUUGCUGUCACUUAUAGAUGGAUCCGCGCCGCAUUAGCUAGUUGGUAAGGUAACGGCUUACCAAGGCAACGAUGCGUAGCCGACCUGAGAGGGUGAUAGGCCACACUGGAACUGAGACACGGUCAAGACUCCUACGGGAGGCAGCAGUAGGGAAUCGUCCGCAAUGGGCGAAAGCCUGACGGAGCAACGCCGAGUGAGUGAUGAAGGUCUUCGGAUCGUAAAAAUCUGUUAUUAGGGAAGAACAAAUGUGGAAGUAACUAUGCACGUCUUGACGGUACCUAAUCAGAAAGCCACGGCUAACUACGUG
rnacentral:rRNA from 1 species